rnacentral:lncRNA from 1 species
CAGAAAAAUGAAAACAACGAUAUUUUGCAAAAAAUAAAUCAAAUUGAAAAUCAGUUAGAAAAACAUUAUGAAUAUAAAGCUAAAGGCGCCCAAUUAAGAUCGAAACAAGAUUGGGUAGAAAAAGGCGAAAAAAAUACAGCUUACUUUUUAGGCCUAGAAAAAAAUAAACAAACAAAAAAAACAAUAAUAAAACUAAAAGAUGACCAAGGAA